UUUUAGGUCAGGCAUGGUGAUUCUGAAAGACCCCCGAAGGGAGACCCUCACUCAAGCCUUGGGACAGCCGCGGACCCAAGAAGACACUGAGACCG
rnacentral:pre_miRNA from 7 species